rnacentral:tRNA from 1 species
GGCCGCCUGGCUAAAGGAGAGCGCUCUCUUUUCCCGCUAUACCACUCCGGAACCUGGAGAAGAUUGCAGGUUCGAAUCCUGCGUCGGUCG